rnacentral:lncRNA from 1 species
AGGCCAUCACAUGUGAACUGGAAGGGAGCCAACAUGGAGACACAGAGAGCGCAAGGUAAACAACUUUCCAACGCCAAAAGGAUGACAUUUAAUCUCUAAAUGCUAGCUUCCCUUCUUAGCUCAUCCUUAACCCCUCUCAGCUGGCCACAGAGACCCCAGGAGCCUCACUACCUGUCCCCAUAGAGCUCCUAACCAGAUGCAACAGUGACUGCGUCACCAUUCCCCACUUUUCCCAACUACGCAGUGACAAACCUACCAGCUUUACCCCACUUCUCCCAGCCCACACCCCACCCUGGCCACUCGGCUCCCCACCAGCCUCAGAAUCCCAGGGCCAGACCUUUCAAUAAGGCAACCCCUGGGAAAAAACUGUCCCUCUGUCUUCCUUUCGGCACUUCUCACUCCCUUACCUUCCACAUAAGACCUGCACGGACAGACAGAUGGACGCUGACACCCAAACAACUUGGAGAACCAGUCUGUCUGUCCACUAGAAGGAAAUAGGGUAAAAGCUGGGAGGUCAGGUGGGAAGCAGGGGAUGGUUCACUCCUCUCACCUCUACCCUGGUCAGGCUUGAGCAGCUGACACUAGGGAAAAGAAAUUAAAGUGGGAAAAAACCCUCCCUCAGAGAAAUAAAUAGCAAAAAUCGA